rnacentral:rRNA from 1 species
UGGGCGUAAGCGAGCGCAGGCGGUUUGAUAAGUCUGAUGUGAAAGCCUUUGGCUUAACCAAAGAAGUGCAUCGGAAACUGUCAGACUUGAGUGCAGAAGAGGACAGUGGAACUCCAUGUGUAGCGGUGGAAUGCGUAGAUAUAUGGAAGAACACCAGUGGCGAAGGCGGCUGUCUGGUCUGCAACUGACGCUGAGGCUCGAAAGCAUGGGUAGCGAACAGGAUUAGAUACCC